rnacentral:rRNA from 1 species
UACGUAGGGUGCGAGCGUUGUCCGGAAUUAUUGGGCGUAAAGGGCUCGUAGGCGGUUUGUCGCGUCGGGAGUGAAAACCCAGGGCUUAACCCUGGGCUGGCUUCCGAUACGGGCAGACUGGAGGUAUGCAGGGGAGAACGGAAUUCCUGGUGUAGCGGUGAAAUGCGCAGAUAUCAGGAGGAACACCGAUGGCGAAGGCAGGUCUCUGGGCCGAUACUGACGCUGAGGAGCGAAAGCGUGGGGAGCGAACAGG